rnacentral:rRNA from 1 species
ACGAACGCUAGCGGCGUGCCUAAGGUAUGCAAGUCGAACGGGGGGAGCAAUCCCCUAGUGGCGAACGGUCGAGUAACACGUAGACCACCUAUCUCCCAGUGGGGGACAACCGCGGGAAACUGCGGCUAAUACCGCAUAUGGCGCCGGGAAGCCUUUCCGGGUGGCCAAAGGAGCAAUUCGCUGGGAGCUGGGUCUGCGGCCUAUCAGCUUGUUGGUGAGGUAACGGCUCACCAAGGCGACGACGGGUAGCUGGUCUGAGAGGAUGAUCAGCCGGACGGGGACUGAGACACGGCCCCGACUCCUCCGGGAGGCAGCAAUGAGGAAUAUUGCACAAUGGGCGCAAGCCUGAUGCAGCGACGCCGCGUGGGUGAGGAAGUCCUUCGGGAUGUAAAGCCCUUUUGCCGGGGACGAUACCAGACGGUACCCGGCGAAUAAGCCCCGGCUAACUACGU